rnacentral:rRNA from 1 species
UUAAAUUGAAGAGUUUGAUCAUGGCUCAGAUUGAACGCUGGCGGCAGGCCUAACACAUGCAAGUCGAACGGUAACAGGAAGCAGCUUGCUGCUUCGCUGACGAGUGGCGGACGGGUGAGUAAUGUCUGGGAAACUGCCUGAUGGAGGGGGAUAACUACUGGAAACGGUAGCUAAUACCGCAUAACGUCGCAAGACCAAAGAGGGGGACCUUCGGGCCUCUUGCCAUCGGAUGUGCCCAGAUGGGAUUAGC